GGACUACACGGGUAUCUAAUCCCGUUUGCUCCCCUAGCUUUCGCGCCUCAGCGUCAGUAGAGAUCCAGCCCGCCGCUUUCGCCACCGGCGUUCCUUCUGAUAUCAACGCAUUUCACCGCUCCACCAGAAGUUCCGCGGGCCCCUACCUCCCUCGAGCCAACCAGUUUCCAAGGCACUUCCCCAGUUGAGCUGGGGGCUUUCACCCCGGACUUGGUCGGCCGCCUACGCGCCCUUUAAGCCCAGUGAUUCCGAACAACGUUCGCACGGUUCGUCUUACCGCGGCUGCUGGCAC
rnacentral:rRNA from 3 species